rnacentral:rRNA from 1 species
AAAAGCACCGGCUAACUACGUGCCACCCGCCGCGGUAAUACGUAGGGUGCAAGCGUUGUCCGGAAUUAUUGGGCGUAAAGAGCUCGUAGGCGGUUUGUCACGUCUGCUGUGAAAUUUCGAGGCUCAACCUCGAACUUGCAGUGGGUACGGGCAGGCUAGAGUGCAGUAGGGGAGAUGGGAAUUCCUGGUGUAGCGGUGGAAUGCGCAGAUAUCAGGAGGAACACCAAUGGCGAAGGCACAUCUCUGGGCUGUAACUGACGCUGAGGAGCGAAAGCGUGGGGAGCGAACAGGAUUAGAUACCCUGGUAGUCCACGCCGUAAACGGUGGGUGCUAGCUGUGGGCCACAUUCCACGUGGUCCGUGACGAAGUUAACACAUUAAGCACCCCGCCUGGGGAGUACGGCCGCAAGGCUAAAACUCAAA